AGCAGGGGGAAUAACACAGGGCUGUGAAUGAGUCCUGUCACUGUGAUCAGGCUCCUCCUUCUAAUCCACCAACUUAGUGUUGAUGAAGACUAAACAGAGAGAUCACAGCUUCUUUAUACUUGCUGUAGCUCACAGUUACUCUACACUGCAGAUAUGACGCCUCUGUUCAUCUCAGUGCUGCUGGCUGCUAUGUGCCUCGAAUGCAGAGCGCAAAAAGACAACGUGCUGCAAGCAAAAGGAGAAGAGACUGCUGCUGCAGGAGGCACAGUAACACUUUACUGUCAGUAUGAGAGCAGUGGAACUAGUAAUUAUCUCUUCUGGUACAAACAGGAUGGAAACAACAGCCCCAAAUUCAUCCUGAGUCGUGUCAGCAGGGAUGAUGGAAAGACAGCAGAUGAGUUCAAGGAGAGAUUUUCAUCCACACUGGAUUCCAGCAUCAGAUCAGUUCCUCUGAAGAUCCAGAAGCUUCAGCUGUCUGACUCUGCUGUGUACUACUGUGCUCUGCAGCCCACAGUGACAGGAAACACCAAAACUCUGUACAAAAACCUUUGGAGCAAAGACAACAGAAUACUCCACAACAUCCACUAGAGGGAGC